rnacentral:lncRNA from 1 species
AACUUAUUGAAAUCUAAAUCAUUCACACCAAAACAAAAUGAGUAUACCACCAUUAAAACCGACAAAACAAAAUAUUAAAAAUAAAACCAGUAUUUAAGAAAUAGAAUGCCCGGUCAAUUUGCAAAUCGCUUCUCCCCUGCGAUCCUUUGGGACAGUAUAGUAACUCCCAUAUACCUUCCAAGCAUCAACAAGCUAGCUUGAGGAUUAGUUCCCGGAGAGUUAAGUAAAGUCGACCCGUCAACAACACGAAGAGAAUCGACACCAAGAACCUUAUACUCAUCAUCAACAACCUUCC